AAAUAAUUGAGCCUAAAUGAAAAAUAUAUAUAUUUGCAUGAAACAGUGAGCUUUUCUCUAAAGAUAUUAUACUCUUUUUAAACCACUCCCCAGAAAUAUGCGCUGUGUGUUCUAGCUUUUUCCCAUUUUCCUAGUUUUGAGAUAAUAUAUUAAUUCCCAGAGAAUAAAUGUGGAGAGACAGCUGUAGAGUCUCCAUUUAAUAUUAGGUCAUGUACUUACAGUAAUACCUUAAAAUUCUUAUCUUUUAGUCCUCUGAGGACUCAAAGUUCAUUCACAUGUUUGAGCAUCUUGACUCCUAAGUCAUGUCCACAUUUUCAACAUAACCCAGGACAGUGGAGACAUAGUUUUACCACAAGCUUAAGAAAAUUGAGGAGACUCAGGUAUUAAACCUAGUGUCUCUCAAUUGCUGCUGUGGUCCUGCAUUCACUGAACUCCACAUAGUUCCUAUCUCCUUUUAGAACCUUCUAGAAACAGAAGAUUCAAACCCGUUGGUGGAUAUGACCUACUGACCUUCCCUAAAGGCCACCUACAUUGUUACUGUUUUACAGUUGAGGAAGGAGGAAAUAGCUGAGACCAUUUACUCUGUCUAUUGGCUUUAUAACCAGAGGUCACUGCCAGGCCCAUUGAGCAAGUUCAAUUCUAUGGGACUGGAGGUAUAACUCCAUGGUAGAGUGCUUGUUUAGUAUGCAGAAGGCCCUGGAUUCCAUUCCCAGUACCGAAAAGAGAGAGACUGUGACAGGAACAGUGACACAUACCUGUAAUGGGAUUACUCAGGAGACUGAGGCAGGAAGAUUGAAAGUUUGAGGUCAGCCUCAGCAACCUUAGAGAGACCCUCAGCAACUUAGUGACUCCCUGUCUCAAUAAUAAUAAUAACAACAACUUAGAAAAGAGAGAGUUCAAGCCCAUUACCUCCUGAUAGCAGUCUGCUUUCUUAAACAAUUUUCAAUAAAUUUAAAUAUUGACUCCAAAUUCUGAAUUCCAUAUUUGUUCGGGAUUAUAAUCAACUCUAUGCUUCAUAUGUAGAAUGUCAAUUCACUGUGUCCAAUUGCUUGGUGAACUCCUGGCAGAAUCAGUUCCUAAGAAUUCUGUAAGUGUGCAUGAAUCAUCCUCAGGCCUCGGGUCAUAGAAAGACCAUCCAGGCAGAAGAAUGACUACCCAGUCCAAGAGCUGGUGACACAUGCAAGGGGUUAUGUCUUUUGCAGCCUUGUCAUAUUUUAGGGGUAAGCACAAAGCAUUAUAGGAGCCUAUAAAAGUGAAAGCUGACCCAGAAUGGAAGGGUUAGGAAAGGCCCAGUGGAAUAAGCUUCCAAAUUGAGAUGUGGGAACUAAUUAUUUUGCUAGAGAAAGACCAGAAGGGAGAUAUUGAGGUAGGGAAAAUCAUAUAGUCAUGCAAUAGCACAAAAGCCUAACCAGAAGAUCAGUCACCUACCUAUUGCUGUACAAUAUGCAAAAAUGUAUCACCCACAACGUCUUUCUUUGAUUUGACUCUCCUAUCUUUUCUGUAAGAAGCCUUACCUCCCUUCCUUCAUAGAUCAAAUUUUUUUCCCUCUGCACCAAAAAAAAAAAAGUCACCUGCUUGCCUUAAAAGCCAUGUUUACACAACCAGCAUGAUUUCUUUUCAUUGGUGAUUUUUGGCCCUGGGGUUGUAUUUCUUAUACUCACAAUGUUUUGAAUGUGACAUUUUAAACCUAACUUAACUCUUUUCUACUACCAAAGCUAUAUUAAUCCAGUAAGGAGGCUUAACAGACAAUCCAAGCAGACAGACCUGCAGAUUCCCAGUGCCACAAAAAAUGUGAAUUGUUUUUCUUCUGCCUACAGGAUUGAAGGUUAUUGCAGAGUUUCAGAUUUUUUAUGAGCAUUUACAAUUGUGGAUCUGAUUGGGAUCUGGGCU
rnacentral:lncRNA from 1 species